GUGCAACCCCCUCCCCCACUA
rnacentral:tRNA from 1 species